CCUACGGGUGGCAGCAGUGAGGAAUAUUGGUCAAUGGACGCAAGUCUGAACCAGCCAUGCCGCGUGAGUGAAGAAGUAUUUCGGUACGUAAAGCUCUAUCAGCAGGGAAGAAAAUGACGGUACCUGACUAAGAAGCCCCGGCUAACUACGUGCCAGCAGCCGCGGUAAGACGUAGGGGGCAAGCGUUAUCCGGAUUUACUGGGUGGACAGGGAGCGUAGACGGCAGCGCAAGUCUGAAGUGAAAUCCCAUGGCUUAACCAUGGAACUGCUUUGGAAACUGUGCAGCUGGAGUGCAGGAGAGGUAAGCGGAAUUCCUAGUGUAGCGGUGAAAUGCGUAGAUAUUAGGAGGAACACCAGUGGCGAAGGCGGCUUACUGGACUGUAACUGACGUUGAGGCUCGAAAGCGUGGGGAGCAAACAGGAUUAGAUACCCGUGUAGUC
rnacentral:rRNA from 1 species